UUUGAGUAAGUGGGGAAACCCUAGCUAUAUAUUUGGGAGACUCUUCUCUUCCGUAAAGUGGAGAGAAAGACGGCGAACGAAACGACGAUUGCAAGAUGAGAGCCAAGUGGAAGAAGAAGCGUAUGAGGAGACUAAAGAGGAAGCGCCGAAAGAUGAGACAGCGAUCUAAGUAGUUCAAUCAAGGGACUUGUCUCUAAAUCUAUCUCUAUUAUGUAAUCCUACCUUUAUCUAGUUUCUUGACUUUGAAGCAGCAGUUUAUCGAAUCAGUAUUUUGAACCUUUUGUGAUCUUUUGCUUUUAAGCUUUUGAACUAUCUCAGUCCCUGUAUUUCAUAACUUGGUUCAUUCCUUUA